GCAACGGCGGACGGGUGAGUAAUGUCUGGGAAACUGCCUGAUGGAGGGGGAUAACUACUGGAAACGGUAGCUAAUCCCGCAUACCAUCAGAUGUGCCCAGAUGGGAUUAGCUAGUAGGUGGGGUAAUGGCUCACCUAGGCGACGAUCCCUAGCUGGUCUGAGAGGAGGACCAGCCAUAUGGGAACUAAGAAACGGUCCAGACUACGACGGUAGGCAGCAGUGGGGAAUAUUGCACAAUGGGCGAAAGCCUGAUGCAGCCAUGCCGCGUGUGUGAAGAAGGCCUUCGGGUUGUAAAGCACUUUCAGCGAGGAGGCGUUACUCGCAGAAGAAGCAACGGCUAACUCCGUGCCAGCAGCCGCGGUAAUUC
rnacentral:rRNA from 1 species